rnacentral:lncRNA from 1 species
CGGAGUGGGGAACGCUGCUCCCUCCAUCGCCUGCUCCUUGCCUUGCCUUGGCUCCUCCUUGUGCCUAUUUAUGUCGCUGCUGGGAUUGAGAUUUGAACCCAUUUGUUGGUAUUUGAUUGAACCCAUGUCUCCAGGGUGGAAAUCCCACAUCUUCACCAUUUAAACCUAGAGGAUAUUCUUAGAUGUUUUAUGAUUUAGGAUAGAUGGAAUUGAGGGAAAGAAAAGGAACAACACUUAGUUUUUACACACUUUUUUAGCAUGUCCUGUUUAUCUAAUGGUUAAGGCGUUGUGUUGCCACGUGGGAGACCCGGAUUCAAAUCACACCGGUUUACACCUAACAGUGGGAUAAAACACGUGCUUCACUCCACCCAAAGAACAGCCUAAACUGGUUGUUUACCAUCCCCAUACGUCAGACCCUCCAUCUACAAACAGACAAACAGGACGGAGUUGAGAAAGCUCAAAGACCCCCUCCAACGACCACCACUAGAGCUGCAGCACAGCUGACAUCUUUAAAUAAAGACCUCCUCCAACGACCACCACUAGAGCUGCAGCACAGCUGACANCCUCCAACGACCACCACUAGAGCUGCAGCACAGCUGACAUCUUUAAAUAAAGACCUCCUCCAACGACCACCACUAGAGCUGCAGCACAGCUGACAUCUUUAAAUAAAGACCUCCUCCAACGACCACCACUAGAGCUGNNNNNNNNNNNNNNNNNNNNNNNNNUGUUAAGCACCGCUGACCUCUUCAGUCCUUCACUUCCAGCUGUUUUCUGGGGCUCCACUUUUGGAGUGAGAUCCGCCAUUUUGUCAUCUGUGGAGUGGAAGUGCCCAUCAGCCGUUGCAGUGUGGAGUGGAAGUGACCAUCAGCCAUUGCAGUGUGGAGUGGAAGUGACCAUCAGACGUGCACUGUGGAGUGGAAGUGACCAUCAGCCAUUGCAGUGUGGAGUGGAAGUGACCAUCAGACGUGCAGUGUGGAGUGGAAGUGACCAUCAGCCAUUGCAGUGUGGAGUGGAAGUGACCAUCAGCCAUUGCAGUGUGGAGUGGAAGUGACCAUCAGAUGUGCAGUGUGGCGUGGAGUUGACCAUCAGCCAUUGCAGUGUGGAGUGGAAUUGACCUGUCAGCGUGCCGUUGCAGUGUGGGUGGAAGUGACCAUCAGCCAUU